UACGGAGGGUGCAAGCGUUAUCCGGAUUUAUUGGGUUUAAAGGGUCCGUAGGCGGAUCCGUAAGUCAGUGGUGAAAUCUCAUAGCUCAACUAUGAAACUGCCAUUGAUACUGCGGGUCUUGAGUGAGAUUGAGGUAGCUGGAAUAAGUAGUGUAGCGGUGAAAUGCAUAGAUAUUACUUAGAACACCAAUUGCGAAGGCAGGUUACCAAGUCUUAACUGACGCUGAGGGACGAAAGCGUGGGGAGCGAACAGG
rnacentral:rRNA from 1 species